AGUUUCUUGUAUUUUUUUUAGAAAUAUUUUCUGCUCAGUGAUUUUAAACAGCCGCGGUAGUUUGACUGUGCGAAGGUAGCAUAAUAAUUUGUCUUUUAAUUUAGGACUUGAAUGAAUGGAAGAACAUAGAACUUACUUUCUUCUAUUUUUAUGUAGAAUUUGUUUUUUUCGUGAAGAAACGAAAAUAUAGUAAAGGGACAAGAAGACCCUUUUGAGCUUUAUUUAAAUUUAUUUUAAAGAAAUAAGUUAAAUUUGGUUGGGGCGAUUAAGGAAGAAAAAAUCUUCUUUCUAAAUUAUAUUUUUGAUCCUUAGGUUUUGAUUAUAAGAUUAAGUUACCAAAGGGAUAACAGCAUAAUUUUUUUUGAAAGUUCUUAUUUAAAAAAAAGAUUGUGACCUCGAUGUUGACUUUUAGUUAACCCAUUUGGCGAAGUAGCUUUGUUAAGGGGGGUCUGUUCGACCCUUAAAUUUAA
rnacentral:rRNA from 1 species